rnacentral:rRNA from 1 species
GACAGAGGGUGCAACCGUUGUUCGGAAUUACUGGGCGUAAAGCGCGUGUAGGCUGCUUGGAAAGUCGGAUGUGAAAGCCCUGGGCUCAACCUAGGAAGUGCAUUCGAAACUUCUGAGCUGGAGUUCUGGAGAGGAAGGCGGAAUUCUCGGUGUAGAGGUGAAAUUCGUAGAUAUCGAGAGGAACACCGGUGGCGAAGGCGGCCUUCUGGACAGUGACUGACGCUGAGACGCGAAAGCGUGGGGAGCAAACAGG